rnacentral:rRNA from 1 species
AUUGAACGCUAGCGGGAUGCUUUACACAUGCAAGUCGAACGAGUGGCGGACGGGUGAGUAAUAUCUCGGAAAGUGCCCAGUAGCGGGGGAUAACUACUCGAAAGAGUGGCUACUACCGCAUACUAUUGGAGCGGCCGAUAUCGGAUUAGCUAGGUGGUGGGGUAAAGGCUCACCAAGGCAACGAUCCGUAGCUGGUUUACGAGGACGACCGGCCACACUGGGACUGUGACACUGCCCAGACUCCUACGGGAGGCAGCAGUGGGGAAUUUUGGACAAGGGGGGAAACCCUGAUCCAGCCAUGCCGCGUGUAUGAGAAGGCCUUCGGGUUGUAAAGUACUUUUGGCAGAGAAGCGGUAUCUGCAGAAUAAGCACCGGCUAACUACGUGCCAGCAGCCGCGGUAAUUC